GUAUCAAUAAGCGGAGGAAAAGAAACUAACAAGGAUUCCCCUAGUAACUGCGAGUGAAGCGGGAAAAGCUCAAAGUGAAAAUCUCCAGCCUCGCGGCUUGGCGAAUUGUGCUUUAGAGACACUGUGCCAACGUGUGACCCAGGUGUAAGUCCUUUGGAAUAGGGCAUCAUGGAGGGUGAGAAUCCCGUUCAUCAUCUGGAGUUUGCCGCAGUCGGUCAGUGUUCUGAGAGUCGAGUUGGUUGGGAUUCCAACUCUAAUUGGGUGGUAAAUUUCAUCUAAAGCUAAAUAUUGAGGAGAGACCGAUAGCGCACAAGUA
rnacentral:rRNA from 1 species